rnacentral:rRNA from 1 species
AGAACGAACGCUGGCGGCAGGCUUAACACAUGCAAGUCGAACGAAUGCAGCAAUGCAUUAGUGGCGCACGGGUGAGUAACGCGUGGAUAUCUGCCUUUUGGUUCGGGAUAACCUUGGGAAACUAGGGCUAAUACCGAAUGGUCCCUACGGGAUAAAGAUUUAUCGCCAAAAGAUGAGUCCGCGUCCGAUUAGCUAGUUGGUGGGGUAAUGGCCCACCAAGGCUGUGAUCCGUAGCUGGUCUGAGAGGAUGAUCAGCCACACUGGGACUGAGACACGGCCCAGACUCCUACGGGAGGCAGCAGUGGGGAAUAUUGGACAAUGGGCGCAAGCCUGAUCCAGCAAUGCCGCGUGAGUGAUGAAGGCCUUAGGGUUGUAAAGCUCUUUCGCCCGCGACGAUGAUGACGGUACGGAGAGAAGCCCGGCUAACUUCGUGCCAGCAGCCGC